UAAACUUACUUUAUUUAAAUUAAAUUAACCAUUUUUCAAGUUGGAGUUAUGUCUCAUCUUUUCAUCUUUUUUUGAGUAUUUGUCUAAAAGCCUUUUCCAUACUUUCUUUAAUUAUAACUGUCUUCACUGUAUGAUGGCAUCUAAAUUUGACUGAUGCAUUUUGUUAAUCUCUCUGCAAACUCUGAUUUUAGCCAAAUGAAUUAAAUGCCAGAAAAUCCUUCUGGAAUAGCUGAAGUUUAUUUCAGGUUAAUCAGAUUAACUGACAGCAGGUGGAAUUGAAUAAAAAAUUAGCAUUAGCUUAAUGUGCACACUCAUUAUGCAACCAGGUUGUUUUUUAAUCUGUGAUUUUCCUCUCCAAUAUGCCACAAUAAAGGUGGAAAAAUGAUAUCCACUGUGUUUGACUGAGCAUCUUUAGAGAAAGGACUGUGUUUUGCAGAAGAUAAGCAACAUUCUCUGCAUUAUUUACUCUGCAAUCCUGAGACAGCCUCAUCUCUUCCCCCAAGUCAGAGAUUCAGUCCUAGAUUCGUCUUCCUGCAGUUGGUUUUGGCAAAGUGUGUGUGUACACUGCUAUUUAGAGAGGAAAGGUCUCACUCGCUCCCAAUAAAUCUAGAAAAAGUGACACACAGACACUGAAUCAUUGGAAGAUUUAUUUCUUUAUCAAAGCAAUCAAAGCAGCAUCAUGUUUUUGAACACAGAGGAGUUUUUAGUUGGUACAGGAACAAGACUUUGUUUUCUUCUUUCCACCCAAUUGACAGAAACCCUGAAGUACGAGAACAUUACGUGAGGGGACGAGCGGUAUGGGCCUUCCACCGAGUUUCAGACUGAAUCCACAGGGCAAAGACGAAGCACAGACCAGGAUGUCUCGACAACAUCACAGAAAAAUGUUUGAGUUAAGAGACUUGCUGCUAAACGGCAGCCAGAACAUAAACAAAGAAACAUACGACCAGUCAGAAAUGGUACGCAAAUAUCAGAAUAAGUUCAUUUACAAAUGAUUAACAGAUGAUUACAUCGACACCUCAGGAAUAUGUUGAAUCUGAUGGAACAAAGUCUGAGAACCUUCUGCUCCACAAACCAGAACUUUUCAUGAGUCUCUAUAAAAAAAGCAGCAAAUUCUUCAUAUAGAUGAAGGAGUAAUUCUAGAUAUUCAUUUAAUUGCUGCAUAAAUAAAACAAAUCAUCACGCACGCACACAACGGUGGACGUCGUGUCGCUCACAUGCAUCUAGGCCUGGGCGAUACGGCUUAAAAGUGAAAAGUCAGAUUUAUUUCAUAGCAGAUUCGAUUUUAAUCGACUUGUUUUCUUUCCUAAAAAAAAACUACGACAGGGUGUCUUCAAAUGUAAGACUUUAAAAGCUUAUUAGGAGUGAAAUUUAAACAGAAAUGCACAACAAAAACUGCAUAUUUCAUGUACAUAUUAGUAAAAGUGGAAACUAUUGAGGAAGAAAUAGCUCUCCUUGUCUAGCUGACUAUGAGAUGUCAUCAGAAUUUUACUUGAGUUUAUUGUAUUUUAAAUUGUUUUAAUGCACGAAACAUCUUGCAGGUUGGCCACAGAAGUGAGUAAGAGAUGACAAUGAACAUCGUCUUGCCAACCGCCAUGAUGGACGCAGUAAAGCUAGUUAGCAGUAGACUCAACUGCUUUGUGACGCACUGAAGAUGUCUGUGCCUUACUCAAACUUUUGGUUAACACAAAAGCCCUGGGAGAAAAAAAAACAGAUCUUAGAAAAUACGACAUUAAAUAGUCCAGCCCGGACAAAAUUAAAGACCUGUAAUCAGUGUUUUUAAGACCAACUUACAUGCAUUUUAAUAAAUUUAAGACAUUUUAAGGAAUAAUUUUAUGUACAAAAACUUAACACUAAGGUUUACAAAUGACAGAAGCUUUUUUUUUUUUUUUAAAGUGGCUUUUAUUUUAAUUAUCUCUUUUGUAAGUGGUGCAAUAGAGUAUUAGGGACAGGCUAGGAUAAUUUGUAUAUCAAUACAAAAAUAAAGUUAUAAUAUGAGCAAAAUAAAAGAUGCAUUUUUACUGAAGAACAAAUUAAAACUAUGAGGAAACAGUCGUUUUAAUGAGAAAAAAACCUUGUAUCAUUAACUUUUUGUCAUUUUUUGUGUUCUCAUAAAUUUACUAUUUCAUUUUCCUAAUAUUACAACUCAUGUAUUAUUUUGACUUUAUUCUUGUAACAUUUUGACUUUAUUUUCAUUAAAAAAAAUCCAAAUCUUAGCCUGAGUCUUACAUUUUGUUGUAGAGAUUAACUGAAUUCAUCUUGCUUAUGAAACAAGAUGGCUGCCUUGGGAGUGCUGACAUCACUCUGAACUUUGGAGAUAAAAAAA